GACGAACGCUGGCGGCGUGCUUAACACAUGCAAGUCGAACGAAGAGCGAUGGAAGCUUGCUUCUAUCAAUCUUAGUGGCGAACGGGUGAGUAACGCGUAAUCAACCUGCCCUUCAGAGGGGGACAACAGUUGGAAACGACUGCUAAUACCGCAUACGAUCUAAUCUCGGCAUCGAGGAUAGAUGAAAGGUGGCCUCUACAUGUAAGCUAUCACUGAAGGCGGGGAUUGCGUCUGAUUAGCUAGUUGGAGGGGUAACGGCCCACCAAGGCGAUGAUCAGUAGCCGGACUGAGAGGAGGAACGGCCACAUUGGGACUGAGACACGGCCCAGACUCCUACGGGAGGCAGCAGUGGGGAAUCUUCCGCAAUGGACGAAAGGCUGACGGAGCAACGCCGCGGGAGUGAUGACGGCCUUCGGGUUGUAAAGCUCUGUUAAUCGGGACGAAAGGCCUUCUUACGAAUAGUGAGAAGGAUUGACGGUACCGGAAUAGAAAGCCACGGCUAACUACGUG
rnacentral:rRNA from 1 species